ACAACAUUCGGACCAUCGGUCUACCGAGCAAUAUCACCGGCUCGGUGGAAGAUCUUGGGGGUUUAGU
rnacentral:pre_miRNA from 1 species